GCCGGGAUGGCGGAACUGGCAGACGCGCGGGACUCAAAAUCCCGUGAGCUUCGGCUCGUGAGGGUUCGACCCCCUCUCCCGGCA
rnacentral:tRNA from 1 species